UGGGGAAUUGUUCGCAAUGGGCGCAAGCCUGACGACGCAACGCCGCGUGGAGGAUGAAGGUCUUCGGAUUGUAAACUCCUGUUGAUUGGGACGAACGCCUCCGGGGAUAACACCCCCGGGGGGUGACGGUACUGAUUGAGGAAGCCCCGGCUAACUCUGUGCCAGCAGCCGCGGUAAUACAGAGGGGGCAAGCGUUGUUCGGAAUUACUGGGCGUAAAGGGCGCGUAGGUGGCCGCCUAAGUCGGACGUGAAAUCCCUCGGCUCAACCGGGGAACUGCGUCCGAUACUGGGUGGCUUGAAUCCGGGAGAGGGAUGUGGAAUUCCAGGUGUAGCGGUGAAAUGCGUAGAUAUCUGGAGGAACACCGGUGGCGAAGGCGGCAUCCUGGACCGGUAUUGACGCUGAGGCGCGAAAGCCAGGGGAGCAAACGGGAUUAGAUACCCCGGUAGUCCUGGCCCUAAACGAUGAAUGCUUGGUGUGGCGGGUAUCGAUCCCUGCCGUGCCGAAGCUAACGCAUUAAGCAUUCCGCCUGGGGAGUACGGUCGCAAGGCUG
rnacentral:rRNA from 1 species